ensembl:misc_RNA Metazoa_SRP Metazoan signal recognition particle RNA
GCCAGGCAUGGUGGUGCAUGCCUGUAGUCCUAGCUACUAGGGAGGCUGAGGUAGGAGGAUCACUUUAGCCCAGGAGUUCAAGGCUGCAUUGAGCUGUGAUCAUGCCAUUGCACUCUAGCCUGGGUAACAGGGCAAGACCCUGCCUCUA